GACCCACCAGUGUGGCCAGCCGCGGCUCCGCCUUCGCAAAUGCGCAAAUGCCCGUGCGCAGUCGCCGCGCCGCCGCCUCCCCUGACGCCUGACGCUGCGCAUGCGCCGCCACCAUCACCAUCUCACCCUUGCCGCGGCCAGGUCCCACGCGGCCCUCCUUAAGUCCGGCAUCUGCUUCCCCACGCCCUGGAACCAGCUCCUCACCGCGUACUCCGGCUCCGGCUCCGGCCUCGCCACCGCGCGCCGGGUGUUCGACGAGAUCCCCCUCCCGGACGCGGUCUCCUGGAACUCCCUCCUUGCCGCGCACGUCUCCGCCGGCGCGCACCAGGACGCAUGGCGCCUGCUCCGGGCCAUGCACGCGCGGGGCCUCGCAGCCAGCACUUUCGCUCUCGGCUCCGCGCUCCGCUCCGCCGCCGCGACGCGCCGCCUCGCGAUCGGCGCCCAGCUGCAGUCGUUUUCCGUCAAGUCUGGCCUCGCCGACAAUGUCGUCCCCGCUAGCGCGUUGGUCGACGUGUACGCGAAAUGUGGCCGCUUGCCUGAUGCUCGCCGCGUGUUCGACGGAAUGCCUGCACGGAAUACCGUUUCUUGGAAUGCGCUCAUUGCAGGGUAUGCGGAGUCUUGGGAUCUUUCACAAGCGGUGGCGCUGUUUCUUGAGAUGGAGCGGGAGGGGCUGACCCCAGAUGAAGCGACAUUCGCCGUGUUGCUUGUUGCGGUUGAGGGUCCGAGCUGGUGUUUCUUGAUGCAAGAGUUGCACGGGAAGAUUGUGAAGUAUGGAUCAGCGUUGGGUUUGGUUGUGUCGAAUGCAGCAAUCACUGUGUACUCACAGUGUGGGGCCCUUGCAGACUCUAGAAGGAUCUUUGAAGGAAUAGAAAGUAAGGACUUGAUAUCAUGGAAUUCUAUGCUUGGAGCCUAUGCUUACCAUGGGAUGGAUGAAGAGGCAAUGAGAUUCUUUGUCAGGAUGAUGCAAGAGAGUGGAGUCCGGCCUGACAUGUAUAGCUUCUCAAGUAUCAUAAGUGUGUGUUCAGAGCAUGGGCGCGAUCACCGAGGGAGAGGACUACAUGGUUUGGUGAUGAAGAUUGGUUUGGAAGGAGUCACACAUGUUUGCAAUGCUCUUAUUGCCAUGUACACUAGGUUCACUGAGAACUGUAUGAUGGAAGAUGCAUGUAAGUGCUUUAAUUCAUUGGUGCUUAAGGACACAGUCUCCUGGAACUCUAUGUUAACUGGAUAUUCACAGCAUGGUUUGAGUGCUGAUGCUUUGAGAUUCUUCAGAUGCAUGCAGUCAGAGAAUAUUAGAACAGACGAGUUUGCAUUCUCUGCUGCUCUGCGGUCCUGCUCAGACCUUGCUGUACUUCAGUUAGGUAGACAAAUACACAGUUUAGUCAUCCAAUCUGGGUUUUCUUCCAAUGACUUUGUUUCAAGCUCACUGAUCUUCAUGUAUUCUAAGAGUGGAAUGCUUGGAGAUGCAAGAAAGUCUUUUGAAGAGGCAGAUAAGAGUAGCUCAGUUCCCUGGAAUUCUAUGAUGUUUGGUCAUGCACAACAUGGACAGGCACAGAUUGUGACCAACCUCUUCAAUGAAAUGCUGGAACUUAGGGUUCCUCUGGAUCAUGUUACCUUUGUUGGCCUGAUUACUGCCUACAGUCAUGCCGGUCUUGUCGAUGAAGGGUCAGAAGUUCUCAAUACGAUGGAAACUAGGUAUGGAAUUCCUCUUCGAAUGGAGCACUAUGCAUGUGGUGUUGACCUCUAUGGGAGGGCUGGGCAGCUUGACAAAGCAAAAGAGCUUAUUGAGUCUAUGCCAUUUCGACCAGAUGCCAUGGUUUGGAUGACCCUUUUAGGUGCUUGCAAAAUCCAUGGGAAUAUGGAACUAGCAAGCGAUGUGGCAAGCUAUUUACUUGUGGAAGAACCUCGACAGCACUCGACCUAUGUUCUUCUCUCCAGCAUGUUUUCUGGUCAUGGUAUGUGGAGUGACAGGGCAAUAGUUCAGAAGGUAAUGAAGAAUAGGGGAUUAAGCAAAGUUCCUGGAUGGAGCUGGAUUGAGGUGAAAAAUGAGGUGCAUUCUUUCAAUGCAGAGGAUAGGUCGCACCCAAGGAUGGAUGAAAUAUAUGAGAUGUUAAGAAUGUUGCUUCAAGUGGCACAUAGGCUUUCUUCUUCUGAAGAUGAUGAGAUUCUCGUGACUACCCAGUGAUACAUGAUCUGCAACUUUAUCUCUGAGGGCAAUAACAUGAGCUUAUAUUACUCAGAAGUAGGAGUACAAUUGUUGAUGAUCAUGUCCGCCAAUCAAGGAGCAACGUAGCUCAUCCAAGCAGCAUAAAUGUUAUCACAAGAGGCUAGUUUGAUAGAAACAUUAUUCAAGAAAAAAAAUAUUAGUUUGAUAGAAACAUGGGCUGGCAAAUUUUCCUCCCUAUUUACAUGAGGAAAAGACAGAGAAAUAAAACUCCUACAAAGCUGUUGAACAUCAUGCCAAAUGCUUGAUAUGAUAAACUGAGCACCAUCUUGUGUACGGUGUACACAUCAUCUUGACGAUGGAUGGAUUAUCUGACUCCAUUAUCAGGUGGGAAUCGAGACUGAUGUUCCUUUCUCGAUUCUGCAGCUGGUUGUAUCUCAAUCCUGGUGGCCAACAACUCAGCUGUGCACCUAACUUAAUUGAAAUCUCUAAUACAAAACCAGCAAGAUUGUCCCCAAUCUAGAUUGGCAUUCGCAGGCAGGAUUUUAGGGAAACAAGACAAUAGAAGGAAAAGAAUUGACACGGUGUGCUUGUAAACUUGUUCGUGUCAAUCAAACUGAGGUACUCGGAGGGUAUCCAUUGUUCUUGGUUAAUUCAGUUUCGGCUGCCAAUCAUGAACUUGAGUGAGCAUAAGGUCUCUGCCUAUGGAGCGGACAUCUUUCCUUUCAAUCAAACUUUGGCAAAGUGUAAACUUACCAAAGCUUUUUUGGAAAGAAAAUUUGGUUUUAAACAACGGUCAAACUGGUACAAAUCAAACGGUAGCGUUUGGUUAGGCAAAACUGUCAAUCAAACGUGGCAGCAAAAUGUCGCCGUCAAAAACAAUGAGCCACGUGAUGAAACGGAAACGAAAAGGUCACCGCCCAAGCCAAACCAACCCCACCUCCGCCGCUCCCACCAACUGCCCCCGAUCUCGGCCAUGGCGGAGGAGGGCUCCGGCGCCGGCGCGGAAAUGGACGCACUCAUCCGGCGGCUGAGGCUCCACCAGGCGGUUCCAUCACCGUACGACCCCGCACCAGAGGCGACCCCCGCGGCCGAUGGCGGCGGCGGCGAGCUGUUCCGGCCGCGGAGGGCCGCCGUGCUCGUAUGCCUCUUCCGGGGCGCCGCAGGCGAGCUCCGCGUCAUCCUCACCAAGCGCUCGUCCACGCUCUCUACCCAUUCCGGUGAAGUUUCUUUGCCAGGAGGAAAGGCUGAGGAGGGUGAUGCAGAUGAUGCAGCAACAGCAUUAAGGGAGUCAAAAGAGGAGAUUGGGCUUGAUCCAUCUCUGGUCACAGUUGUUGCAUCUCUUGAACACUUCUUGUCCAAGGUGCCAUGCCUUUUGUUCUCACUUGAAUCCAAAGAAAAAUUCUCACUUGAAUGCCUUUUGUAUGAAACUUUAUCCUUUGGUUGUUUGGACUCUGCAGCCAAACACACAUGUGCAACUAAACUAACUUCUCUCAUGAUUGUUUACAGAUGUCUCGAGGAUAAAUGGAUAAUGCAUAGAGUCUGAAUUAUUUUUUCAAAAGUUCUUUACUGCCAGAUUACAUUCAAUAAUCAUUUUUAAAACUUUGGACUUCGGAUCACGGGCGGAGCUAGGCUUAGUUAUUGGGUCAGCUGACCCUGAUAAAAUUCCAUCAAUCCUGUAGAAACUACUAAACUACUGUUCAUAUGUGUUGAUGUCCCCAGUGUGCCAAGGGCAAUGACCCCAGUGGUCUUGUUGUCUAGCUCCACCCCUGUUUAGGGUAGCAAUCAUUCUGCAUCCCACAGAAAUUCAUAUUAUUGUCCUUUGGUAUCUUGGAUCACAAUCAUCAUAAAUUCUAUUGGAUGGCAUGCAUAUCAAGUGCUUUACUAAUCAGAGAUAUAAAAUGAUUUUGUAAUAUGAUUAGGACCAAAUUUGUUUUGCUGUUUCAUGUGGAAACUAUUCAGCUUAUUCUGAUGGUGCUCAAUGUCAUUACUUCUUAAGCAGUGGUGCCAUGAUCAUUUUCUUUGUCAUGGUGCUCUACAGCAUAGAGGUUUUCCUUAACAUUACAGUAGGGAGGGAAGGAGGUUUGCCUUAACAUUACAGUAGGGAUGGAGGGAGGUUUGCCUUAACAUUACUGUAGGGAGAAAGGGAGGGAGUAAUUCUUUUCCAUGCUGUUAAAGUAAAAUGGGUAUGAGUGACCUAUCAGUAGGUCAGGACUCGGGGAUCCCUAUCAAUUGCUGAAGGUAUUCUUUGUGUCCUUGGCAGCAUCUUCUGGUAGUUGUUCCUGUUAUUGGCAUACUCUCAGACAUACAAGCGUUUAUACCUGUUCUUAAUGUUGCUGAGGUGGACGAAAUAUUUGAUGUACCCCUGGAGAUGUUCCUCAAGGAUGAGAACAGGACAUCAGAGGAACGGGAAAAGAUGGGGCAGACAUUUACAGUUCAUUACUUCACUUAUGUAAAAGGGGAUCAGAAGUACUUAAUCUGGGGUCUGACGGCCCGCAUUCUUAUCCAUGCUGCUUCAGUUGUAUAUGAGCGCCCACCAGACUUUCCUGAGCGAAGAGCACAUUUCAACUUACCAAAGUAUGCAAAGGAUUCCUCUUCAAUGCUGGCAGGGCUUGCCAAACACUAGUCUCUAUGACACUAUCUUAAGUAUAGACUACUGGCCCAGUACUGGGGGAUGUAGGAGAUUUCACUGCAAGAAAUGAUUACAGAAUCCAUGGGGAGUCCAAAUCAUAUAUGGUGUCAUUUUAAUUUAGAUUCUUUGCACAAUCUUUUAGUCGACACAAUAGUAACAUUUACAAUUAGAACAAUGCUAAAUAUACUUUAUAGCCGUCAAAUGGUCCAUUUCGAUACUGUUUAUGCAAUUGAAUUGUAUGUAUAUACCAUAUUGUUCUGUUUAAUGCAUUGUUCAUUUGUUCUAUAAGGAUAAGAAGGUUCGGAACUAAUUUCA